rnacentral:lncRNA from 1 species
UGUUGGGAUAAUUUUGGGUAAGAUGAGGGCCAUUGUAGAUGAAGCAACCAGGAUGAAGGUUGGCUUGAUCCCUCGUUUGGUGGGAACCCUCCACCUUCGUCUUCCCUUUAUCAGCAUCCUUGGUCCGCUUCUCCCUAGCAUUCUUGAACUUUGGCUUCUUCUUGUGAGUCUUUUCAGCAAAUUAUGGCUUGCUUGUUGAAGGCCUAUUGCUGGG